UCUAGCUUGCUAGACGGAUUAGUGGCGAACGGGUGAGUAAUGCUUAGGAAUCUGCCUAUUAGUGGGGGAUAACGUAGGGAAACUUACGCUAAUACCGCAUACGACCUACGGGUGAAAGGGGGCUUUUAGCUCUCGCUAAUAGAUGAGCCUAAGUCGGAUUAGCUGGUUGGUGGGGUAAAGGCCUACCAAGGCGACGAUCUGUAGCUGGUCUGAGAGGAUGAUCAGCCACACUGGGACUGAGACACGGCCCAGACUCCUACGGGAGGCAGCAGUGGGGAAUAUUGGACAAUGGGCGAAAGCCUGAUCCAGCCAUGCCGCGUGUGUGAAGAAGGCCUUUUGGUUGUAAAGCACUUUAAGUGGGGAGGAAAAGCUUAUGGUUAAUACCCAUAAGCCCUGACGUUACCCACAGAAUAAGCACCGGCUAACUCU
rnacentral:rRNA from 1 species